rnacentral:lncRNA from 1 species
UGAAGAUGCGCAGGUACAGAUGUAAACAGGGAGAAAAACUACACACCCUGGAUCCAGGUAUGCAGUUUGCUCUGGUUCUGAUGGCAGAAACUGAUCAAGAUCAACGGUAGGCGACGCCCGUGUUUCUUCAGGAUGUCGACGAAGCUGAUGCGUCUUCAGAGGGGCCGUCCUGGGACAGCUGGCGCACGGGAGAGGGAGCUGGAUGAAACCAUUCAGGAGUUGGAGGCACGCGUGGCCACCCUAGAGAGCCAGAAAGGAAUGCUGCAGAGCAAGCUGAACCUGGCCAGGCAGCACAUCAUGGACCUGGGGGGCAGGAGCCACUACCGUCCUAAAGGAAGAGGUCCAGGUGGAGGGGGUGAAGUCCGGCGGGCAGCGCAAACAGCACCACCACGCUGCGAGUUAAGCUACCAAGAAGACACUCAUGGAGAGAUAGAAAGACCCUCCAGUGGAACAGACACACAGCAGGUCAGGAUGGCUGAGCUGGAACUUGCCACCCAUUUCCUGAGGGACACGCUGAGAGAGAGGGACAGGGAGUUUGAGGAUGCCAUGAGGGAGCUGAGGAAACAGCAGGCAGAAGGACACA